rnacentral:rRNA from 1 species
UACAGAGGUCUCAAGCGUUGUUCGGAUUCAUUGGGCGUAAAGGGCGCGUAGGCGGCGCGGACAGAUCGCCGGUGUGAAAUCUCGGAGCUUAACUCCGAAACUGCAUUCGAUACUGCCGUGCUUGAGGACUGGAGAGGAGACUGGAAUUUACGGUGUAGCGGUGAAAUGCGUAGAUAUCGUAAGGAAGACCAGUGGCGAAGGCGGGUCUCUGGACAGUUCCUGACGCUGAGGCACGAAGGCCAGGGGAGCAAACGGG